rnacentral:rRNA from 1 species
GAUGAACGCUGGCGGCGUGCCUAAUACAUGCAAGUCGAGCGGUAAGGCCUCUUCGGAGGUACACGAGCGGCGGACGGCUGAGUAACACGUAGGAACGUACCCCAAACCGAGGGAUAACUGCUCGAGAGAGUAGCUAAUACCGCAUGUGAUCUUCGGAUUAAAGCUACGGCGGUUUGGGAACGGCCUGCGCAUGAUUAGCU